CUGGAACAUCAAAUCCGAUCCAUAGAGAAUCUACCUCGCAACUUGCAGGAUCUGCUGAUAAUCACAGGACACAUUCCUAGGUCUUGUGGAGUCCAUGCCUUGAUGCAUCAGAGUUGUUUUGGCAGCAUGAGGGGAACAUACACAAUAUAAGGCAGGUGGUUUUCAUUUUGUCGCUGGUCAGUGUAGUUCCCAAUAUGUGUCCCGUGAAUCAGCUACUGGCGCCUGUAUACCACCAAAGCAAGCAGGCCAGUCCAUUGAGGGCUGACCAUGCAGGAGGCACUGUUUCAGUUCCCUGGGGUUGCCAAAAGCAGGACACCAGUAAACAAACCCCGAAGGGCUGGACAGGACCCUAAACUCAAGACUGUCCCGAUGAAAUAUGGAGAUUGGGAGACCUGGGCAGAGCUGCCAAUUUUGUGCAUCAAGUGGUUUAAUUGGCAGGUCUUUUUAGGCCCAGCUACCCUAUGUUCAGAGUUUAUACCUCCCAGUGUUGGGAGGUAUGCUGAU